UACGUAGGUGGCAAGCGUUGUCCGGAUUUAUUGGGCUUAAAGGGUGCGUAGGCGGUCUAUUAAGUCAGCGGUGAAAUACUCCAGCUUAACUGGAGGGGUGCCAUUGAUACUGAUGGACUUGAGUCAAGUCGAGGUAGGCGGAAUUGACGGUGUAGCGGUGAAAUGCUUAGAUAUCGUCAAGAACACCAAUAGUGAAGACAGCUUACUGGGCUUAAACUGACGCUGAGGCACGAAAGUGUGGGGAUCAAACAGG
rnacentral:rRNA from 1 species